UAAUGUGUUCUGAAGUAUUUUGAAGGGUAACUCAGAAAGAGGAAGCACCCAUUUUAUUUUCUCCUUUGAAAUUACAACUUUCUCUUAACUGACGAAUAAUACAGGUGCUUUAUAAUUGAAGCUUUUUCAAGGUCCUGAAAACAAGUUAAAGAAGUUUUAAUGACAACACUUUCAUUAAAUAUGUAUUACUUUUAUAGAUACUUGUGAGAAACUACUUUCCAAUAUUUAAUCAUGUUCUCCUUCCUCUUCUAUUUCUUUAUCUCCCAAAGUGGAAACAUCAUUCGAGUCAUUACCACCACCCUCUUCUUCCCCCAAAUCAUCAUUUUUACUACCAUUCAUAUUGUUUUAUAAACAACAUUUUUUAAAUUCAAGCACAAUGGACUUGGUAGAGAUUUUGUCCCAAGUGGUUUUGAUCCAGUUCCCUAAUACAGUGACUGAUGGUUUCUUUAUUUUUCUUGAUGGAGUAAAUUCUUUCUGGUUUCUGGCCAAUGUCCACUCAAUAUAUUCUUUCUUCAAAUAAUCUUUGAAUGACUUAUUAAUUAUUACAUCUAACACUUGUAAUUGUGAUGUCAUUCCUUCCAGAACAACAACUAGGUCCAUGCACAUUUUUCAGCAAUUCUCUUUGUCACAUUUUCAGUCAGGUGACCCUUGAACAUACGAGCAUAUGCAGUAAUGCACCUGGACAUCUAUCCCAGACCACAUUCAACCAAACUAACACAAGUUCUUAAUUCAUCCAUCCCUUUUCCUGCACAUGGAAGAUCACUCCUGAUGGUAUAUCCCUCCAGCCAUAGAACCCUGCCAUAUGCCAGAGAAGUAUCUUUAAUCAAAACAAAUCAACAUCUGACAAUAUAUGUCUUAUGAAACACAUCUAUUUCACCAGCUUACUUCUGGGAGGAAGAGUUUUUCACCAUUGGUCCUUUGGAGGUAAGAUUGGACCAAUCUGAAUUC
rnacentral:lncRNA from 1 species